CUGUCCACAGUGUCAGACUGAAAUGGGUAAAUUCCUGGGCCCAGAGUAACCAGUACUUGGCCUUUAGUCUAUACAGGCUGCUCAGGGGAAAUUAUCUGAUGCCCAGAUCUUCCCUUCUUCAAGAACAGCACUCAUCAGAGUCACACUCCAGUCGGGACAUUUUGUUUUAUUCAAGAUACAGAGGAAGAGGUGAAAAGGUUAUAAUGUUUCCACCGAACAGACAGGAAACCGAGGCUUAGAACUCUCAUGCAAUUUACUCAAGGUUUUGCAACGAGUGAAGUGUUCGAGUUGACGCAAGUUCAAGUUGAUUUUCUUUCUUACAAGUACACUGUCUUUCUUGACACCCAAAAAGAGACUUGCAGAACCAUGAGGGAUUUGCUCAAGCCCACAGCUGACUGCACAGGACGUGGUGACUCUUCUACCUCUUCUACCCCCUAGCCACCAGCGGACCCAAGCUUCCAAAUCCGCAGACACACUUUUAACAUCUGUAUAACCACGCAUACAUGCUUACAUGACGAUAAAAAGCUGACUCCCUCCAUUAAUUUGAGUGUGACUUUGUAACCUGGACUCCACACUUUCUUCUGCUCCGGUCUCUCACAGCAACAAAGGUACAAGGAAGGGUCAGA